GAAAGUGAAACAGACAGUUCCCAUUACCCCUCACGCUCGCGGAGACUGAUUUGCAAAGGCUGGAAAAUUGUGUUUGAAGCCACGUAAUGACGUGUGAUAAUUUCCUGUCGGGACGUCCCUGAGAUUCACAGCGAGUGCGAUCGUCGUGGGCUGGCGUUGGCGGGGUGCGGGGGGUGCGAGGGAGGAAGGGACAUGGGACGGCCCUCUCCUGUAGGAGCUUUGGAUUCAGAAACUAAUGAAAGCCUACUGGCAAAGGACGUGUGGGGGGCCCGGUGAAAGCCAGCCCCGGGGAGCGGCCCGCCCGGUACUGAUCCCACUUUGUGUCCCCGUUAAUCCGCACAAGGAUCCCGGGCCGCGGGUCCCACCCCGGGCAGCAUCUGGCAGCACCCGCGGACGGGAAACAGCCCCCACUGUGCAGCGGGUGAGCCGGGAACGGUCCCCUCGCCGUCAAUCCCGUUCCGCACGGUGACACACAAAAAUGUUUCUAAUCUCAGGUUGCGAUGCAUGAAGGCAACAAGGCACGACGCGUCUGUGAAGGAAAAAGGCCGUUUGUGCUGGAGCCUCUGCCCUUGUCUCCGGAAGGCCCCGCGCCCUGGAAAUCCAUCCGUCCACGCCGAGUUUGCAGGUCAGCCCCAGCAGCCAGAGGCGCCCUGCUCCCGGCACAGUAGACUGGACCGUGUGGCCAGCCUGGUUAGGACAACCCACCUGCGACCCCACUAUGUGCUGCACUCCACGUCUGAUGGUGCCAGGAAGGCCCAGAGGCCCACAUUCAGCCACUGUUGGUCUGUCACCGUCCUGCAAAUGGGAGUUCAGAACCGGCAGACCAUCAGAAGCGGGUGUGAGUUGUAUCUACUGGCCCGGGGACCAGAGUAGCGGCGUGGCACCUGUAUGGGGCCCACGUGCGUUCCCCCCAUCACGGUGCUGGAGAGGAAUGCCACAGUGUGCCAUCUGCUGGGACAACAAGCGGUCCCCUGUCACUCUGCCCCAACAGCUAACUCAGCUGACCCUUGGGAUGGUGCCAUUACCUCCACGUCACAGACCGGAAGUGAGCUGACCGUGAAGCACGGUCCCCCAGAGCCCCGCCCGGCCGGCCAGCAGCAGCAGAGUCACCCGGGAACCUUUCAG
rnacentral:lncRNA from 1 species